rnacentral:rRNA from 2 species
UUACCGAGUUUACAACUCCCAAACCCCUGUGAACAUACCUUAAUGUUGCCUCGGCGGAUCAGCCCGCGCCCCGUAAAACGGGACGGCCCGCCAGAGGACCCAAACUCUAAUGUUUCUUAUUGUAACUUCUGAGUAAAACAAACAAAUAAAUCAAAACUUUCAACAACGGAUCUCUUGGUUCUGGCAUCGAUGAAGAACGCAGCAAAAUGCGAUAAGUAAUGUGAAUUGCAGAAUUCAGUGAAUCAUCGAAUCUUUGAACGCACAUUGCGCCCGCUGGUAUUCCGGCGGGCAUGCCUGUUCGAGCGUCAUUUCAACCCUCAAGCCCCCGGGUUUGGUGUUGGGGAUCGGCUCUGCCCUUCUGGGCGGUGCCGCCCCCGAAAUACAUUGGCGGUCUCGCUGCAGCCUCCAUUGCGUAGUAGCUAACACCUCGCAACUGGAACGCGGCGCGGCCAUGCCGUAAAACCCCAACUUCUGAAUGUUGACCUCGGAUCAGGUAGGAAUACCCGCUGAACUUAAG